UUCUCUGUUCCUUGCGGUGCGUUCUCUUUCCAUACAAACCUAUUCUCUCUUCUCUCACAUCUCCUGCAAUCGGCGAGUUCCCUGUUCUUUGCGCUGCCACCUUAAUCUGAGUUGUCACUACAACGUCCCAUUUCAAUCGAACCUCUCUCUUAUCUCCAUUUCUCAGAUCGUGCUCCUCAAAUUUUUCACCAUUGAUUGAAGCAAAUUGAUAUAGUGAAAAAAAUGUCUACAAACUCAUGCAGCAGGUUCUUGUACUGUUGGGACUGAUAUGCAUAUGCGCCUGCUAGGAGUUUUUUUGCCGUCUGAUUUUGCUACUGCAGUCAUGCUGCAAGUUUUUUUGUCCUGCUGUGACUGAUAUGCGCAUGCUGAUUUAGGUUGUCAGGGUGUUUUUGCGGCUAGAUUUUUUAUUGGGAUGUCUUCGGACUUGAGGUGGUGGUAUGCUUCGUUAUAAAUGUAUAUCUCAGCCUCAAUGUCUGAUGCCUUGUUCGAGUUUUUGGUGGUUUUUUGUUUCUCUUUGGUGGAGGUGUUACGCAUAUCGGCGGCACCACUGUUAUAUCUUAUCUUUUCCAUUGCCGCUCUUUUGUGCACCUUGCAUAGACUCGUCGAAAUGGAAAUGUAUUGGUGAACAUCAUAGUAUUUGUAUCAAAAUGGAAAUGUAUUGUAUUAUGAUAAUGGCAAUGAUUGCUUUCGAAA